rnacentral:snRNA from 1 species
AGAUCAUUGCUCUGGCUUCCCAUCUGGCACCCCAUUGAUUGUCACAGUAACUAGGCUGGUCAGGCUGGCUAGUAGGCUGUCCCUUCCUUUCCCACUGUUCCAUGUGUCCCUCUGGAAGCUGGGUGCUCUUUGGAAAGGGAUGUCUUUCUGUGGUAGAGGAGUGUCUGCUUUAGAUGGUUGUCCUCCUGCUAGAUCCUUCACACCAGGUCUCAAGGUCCAAACGUGACCAUGCAGAGGCCGUCAUCCAUUGUUAAUGAAUCCAAGUAAGAGACUU